UACGAAGGGGGCUAGCGUUGCUCGGAAUCACUGGGCGUAAAGGGUGCGUAGGCGGGUCUUUAAGUCAGGGGUGAAAUCCUGGAGCUCAACUCCAGAACUGCCUUUGAUACUGAGGAUCUUGAGUUCGGGAGAGGUGAGUGGAACUGCGAGUGUAGAGGUGAAAUUCGUAGAUAUUCGCAAGAACACCAGUGGCGAAGGCGGCUCACUGGCCCGAUACUGACGCUGAGGCACGAAAGCGUGGGGAGCAAAGCAGGG
rnacentral:rRNA from 1 species